rnacentral:rRNA from 1 species
CCUACGGGAGGCAGCAGUGGGGGAUAUUGCACAAUGGGGGAAACCCUGAUGCAGCGACGCCGCGUGUGGGAAGACGGUCCUCUGGAUUGUAAACCACUGUCCCCAGGGACGAAGAUGACGGUACCUGGGGAGGAAGCUCCGGCUAACUACGUGCCAGCAGCCGCGGUAAUACGUAGCGAGCGAGCGUUGUCCGGAAUUACUGGGUGGAAAGGGAGCGUAGGCGGGACUGCAAGUUGGGUGUAAAAUCUACCGGCUCAACCGGUAGCCGCACUCAAAACUGCAGUUCUUGAGUGAAGUAGAGGCAGGCGGAAUUCCUAGUGGAGCGGUGAAAUGCGUAGAUAUUAGGAGGAACACCAGUGGCGAAGGCGGCCUGCUGGGCUUUUACUGACGCUGAGGCUCGAAAGUGUGGGGAGCAAACAGGAUUAGAUACCCGGGUAGUC